rnacentral:tRNA from 1 species
CGAGGUGUAGCGUAGUCCGGUUAGCGCACCUGCUUUGGGAGCAGGGGGUCGGGAGUUCAAAUCUCUCCACCCCGA